CCCCCAAAAAAAGAGCAUGAAUGUGAACAGCAAAACUUCCUGCAGUAAAUGGGGGAGGACCCGACCAUUCUGCAGUGCUGAGAUUGCAUCCAAACUCCUUUGCAAGUAUCCAGACCCCAAGGCUUUCCUUCCAUCCUUUCCAGAGGGACCUCAGUUUCCCAGACAUGCAGGAUACGUCCUCUGACAUCCACACUCAGAACCAGGUCAUUCUUCUCAUCGGGCUCCUUUGCACCACCUGGAUUUGCUGAGGAAUAAUUUUGCAAGGAAAAAAAAAUGGGGAUCAGAGCUUUAGAGAAAGAAAGAGAGAGAGAGAGACAACCCAAGAGACUGCAGUGCAGACAUGUUUGUAACUACUUUAAACAUGCAUUUGGUUGGCAACCUUAGAGGUGAAAAAACAAAGUCUGCUGGUUUGAAGCACCUGCCUGGAAAGCAAGAUUUCCUGAUGCUCUUCUCACCUGCCCCUCAAUGAUCAAGUCCACAGACAACCCAGACACCUGUGUGGAAAGAGCCUUUGGAGCUGGAUACAUAAUUCAGUGAAAUUGUUGGUGGGACGAUGGAUCUGGGUCAGCGCUUCCCUCUGUUCAUUUCACAAAUUCUGCUGGGUUUUUUUCACUUCACAAAGCAUUAGAAGAAAACAGCUAAGGAAAGAGACUUUUAUAAAUAGAGUUGAUGUGAGUUUUGUGCAAGGACACCUUCUGGACCGGUGAAGUGCAGCUGAUGCUCUGAGAGCUCGGGAGGGCACUUCCAGGGGAGUUUGGGGUCUGUUAGGAACAGAGACCCACUGAGCACUGAGGGGAUUUGAGUUCCUAAAUCACUCUUAGACCUCUGAAGAUCCUGCCCAGAGGUCUGUGGGUCUGUUCACACAGGAUGUCAGCAAGUGAAAUAAGAAAUACCUCGGACAAAAUUUUAUCAACUGCGCCGCUGAUCUCUGCAAAGAAAGGUUUGCACGAAGGUGAUUGCUGGCUUAAUCAUGAAAACUCCAGCAAAGUACAUCUCACAGACAUUCUGCAUCUCCUGCUGCAGCUGCCUGUCUGUCUCUGUUAACAGAUCACAGUCCAGACCACAGCAAGCAGCUUUCAAGCCAGAAGGGGAGAUCCCAAGAGUCCUGCCUCCUUUAUCCUGGUUUCAUAACCUGCACUGCACUAUCUCUGAUUUAACAAAGUCCUGGUAAGUAAUUUUGGUGCAUUAAAUAUAAUUUCUGAUGAGAAGGUAGAUGUGUCUAUGCUUGGAGGUACUCCCUGUGCAUUCAAAGAGAAGGAGGUGCUGCACAAUAGGAUUAUAUUUGUUAAUGUUUUGCCAAUCAGCCUAAAAUGCUCUUUAGUAGUCAGUGUCUGUUGUUCUUACCUUGAUAAGGUAUGUAGAGAAAUAUUUGGAAAAUCACUGGUAAUGCUGAAAGUUUGAAGAGUUUUCCAUGUUAUCAGGCUCUUGGAUAUCCCAUGAUUUCAUGUGAUGCCUCAUCCUGAGGGAAAGCUGUCAUUUCUCAGGAUAAUCCAAAGUCACUUCCAUCCUCAGAGCAGGAACUUGUGAGUGUCUGAACUGUAACUCCUAUGAGGUGCAGCAGUGCUUCCCACAGCUAUAGAAGCAUGUAUUGACUAGAAAUAAUACAUUUUACAUAAGACACACAUUAAACAAAACAUUUUUAUUUGGGAACAUGUAGAGAGUAACGAAUGACUGUUUAUUUAUGGAAGUUUGUUGGGAAAUAUCAUGGUUUUAAUUAAAAUGAAAUCCCUGAUAUGUUUCCUUUUGGGCUAAGCACUAAGAUUUUCUAGCUAAAAAUAUAAAAUCAGUCAUUCUGUGGAGUGUAUAUUUAUAAUCAGGCUUUAGAAAUAUAGAAAGAACUGAAAAAAAUUACGGGGGAAUAAAGAUUGACUCGAUUGACAGCUAAAUAUUAACUGUGUUCAUAAGAAGGAGGGAAAUUACAAAGGGCUUGGCAAACUGAGUUGUCCAAACUGACUGACUGACUGAAUCAAGAAGUUAAAUAUCCCUGGGCAAAGCAAACUAUGUACCAGAAAGGUCAUUACUGUUUCUCAUAGGGUUUAGCUCUUUCACUCUGCAAUUGAGCUGGGUUUUUAAAUACAGUUUUGUAUGCAGAUUUAAAGGUCUUGUUCCCUGUUAAACAGAGAGGCUUUGAAACCAGUUCCCUCUCACAGGUGUUAAUGAGUACAAGCAGGUUAUCAGGAUGUUACUUGUAGCAGCUUUACUGUGUGGUGUUGUGUGUGAAGGCCACACCAGUGGUUAAAGAUCAGAGGUUUAAUUAGCCAUAUUUUACUGGGCUUGGCUUUAGGCCUCAAAAGGACUGAAAGAAGAGCA